rnacentral:rRNA from 1 species
CAGCCGCCGCGGUAAUACAGAGGGUGCAAGCGUUAAUCGGAAUUACUGGGCGUAAAGCGCGCGUAGGUGGUUCGCCAAGUUGGAUGUGAAAUCCCCGGGCUCAACCUGGGAACUGCAUCCAAAACUGGCGAGCUAGAGUAUGGUAGAGGGUGGUGGAAUUUCCUGUGUAGCGGUGAAAUGCGUAGAUAUAGGAAGGAACAUCAGUGGCGAAGGCGACCACCUGGACUGAUACUGACACUGAGGUGCGAAAGCGUGGGGAGCAAACAGGAUUAGAUACCCCUGUAGUCCCUGUCUCUUAUAC